UUCCUUAACCAUGGUCACGCUUCAUCUGGAUCCUUCCUUGGAUUUCUGUAAUUCGAUCAUCACCGACUUCCUUCAUCUUAUCUCUUAUCUCCACCUAAUUUCUUCACUUCUGCAUCUUAUGAAGAAUUUAUUCUCUCACCUACCUCCCCUCUCCCCGUCUAUUGAACAUGGUGGUUUCAAAUUUCAUCGCCUUCGAUCACAUCGCUGCCACCGUGAAGCAAAAUCGAGACGAUUCAUCACACGUAUAGGUCAUCCUACGACGUUUCCGACAUGCCACUGUCGUCUCCAGCGUUUCCGACAUGCCAACACCAGCUCCACCACAUCCUCAUCAAAUGAUCUACGAUCGCGUUGCCAAAAAAAUCAAAGCGAAGCUCAAGCGACUCGAAAACUCCGACCCUAGGUUCCUCAAACACAACUCCCCUAACCAUACCCUAAUCAAUCACACGUCUAUCCUACGAGACGGCUACUGUUGGGGUGUGGAUCGAUUCACGGUAACAGUUUGAGAUGGAAGAGAACAACCGCAGCCACUCGACCAUGGUCCAUCAAUGGUGACAUCGUCGUCUACUCGACCAUUAUCGAUCAUCGACACAGUCUGACCUGUUUCUAUAAAGCAACAACCUGUACGAGUAGGUAGUAAUCGGAACUCAAGAAGGCAGACAGUAGGUCGGGAUUACAACAGGUGAAGCGGCAGCCUAACAUAAAUCAGGGGUGCAAUUGAAGAGCUGGAAUCAGAGCUUAGAUGAUCUACUUCCAAUUCAAAUCUCUCCUCCAUGGUAAACAAUUCUUAUCGGAUUUUUAACCUAUAAUGAUGAUAUACUUGGAUAUUUUACACAUAAUGGUAAUCUAAUUAUUGUUUGCUACCCAUAAUAACACUAUACUUAUAUUUUGAUUUCAAUCUUGCUUGCUCAUGUGGAUGGAAGCCAGUUGUAGGCCAGUGAUAAGGUAAACUGUUUCUAAAACCUAGUUGUAGGCCAGUGAUAAGGUAACUGUUUACUUUUAAUGUUGCUACAGUGAUUUGCUGAGCAUAGGAGGUCGCCACCUAAUAGACAAUAAAUGAAGAAAGGGGAUGGCAGGUUCAAAGACAGAGGAGGAAACCUCUUUUGUCGUCGCUCCUGCAGCUACUACUCAUAGAGACCCGUAUGAGGUUUUGAACGUUUCAAGAGAUUCCUCAGAUCAACAGAUUCAAUCUGCUUACAGAAAUCUCUCUCUCAAGUUAGUUUUAGUUUCUUUUCUUUCCUUCUUUCUUUCUUUCUGAUAUAUAUAUCUAUAAAGUGCUUUAAAUUAUGUAUUGUCUUUAAUAUCCAGUGUUGGUAUCAAUUUCCAUACGUAAUUGAUUUUUAAGUUUUCCAGUCCUUCAAACGGAUUUGCUUAAGGUUUCUAGUCUGUCAAUUGCCAACAGUGUGUGUACACAUUUGGUUCUAUGUACCAUGGUGCUGUUGGGCGGUAGUUCCAGGGCACCUCUGACUUUGGAAAAUCAAUCUUUUUAGAUGAAAACUUUGUUAAAGUUUUGGUAUGUGGUUUUAAUGGCCAUUUGUUGCUCUGUCUAUAUGGAAUUAGAGAUAUAUAGGUAUAGUUAGACAUAUUAUUAUGGGCAUACCAAAGCUCACUGAGACAGAUUAAAGCACAAACUAACAAGAGUUGGAAAUACUUGAGAGCAUUAAUAAAUACAAAUGUAUCUCCACUGCCUAAAUGAAACGAAACAGUUACAUAUUGAACAUUAAGAAAACAAGAAAUUUUAAGUAUUCUCUCUAAUUGAUUUUGUUGAUGUUGGUUUA